AGCGAACGCUGGCGGCAGGCCUAACACAUGCAAGUCGAACGAACUCUUCGGAGUUAGUGGCGGACGGGUGAGUAACACGUGGGAACGUGCCUUUUGGUUCGGAAUAACUCAGGGAAACUUGUGCUAAUACCGAAUGUGCCCUUCGGGGGAAAGAUUUAUCGCCAUUAGAGCGGCCCGCGUCUGAUUAGCUAGUUGGUGAGGUAACGGCUCACCAAGGCGACGAUCAGUAGCUGGUCUGAGAGGAUGACCAGCCACACUGGGACUGAGACACGGCCCAGACUCCUACGGGAGGCAGCAGUGGGGAAUCUUGCGCAAUGGGCGAAAGCCUGACGCAGCCAUGCCGCGUGAAUGAUGAAGGUCUUAGGAUUGUAAAAUUCUUUCACCGGGGACGAUAAUGACGGUACCCGGAGAAGAAGCCCCGGCUAACUUCGUGCCAG
rnacentral:rRNA from 1 species